AGACUGGAAUUCCCGGUGUAACGGUGGAAUGUGUAGAUAUCGGGAAGAACACCAAUGGCGAAGGCAGGUCUCUGGGCCGUCACUGACGCUGAGGAGCGAAAGCGUGGGGAGCGAACAGGAUUAGAUACCCUGGUAGUCCACGCCGUAAACGGUGGAUGCUGGAUGUGGGGACCAUUCCACGGUCUCCGUGUCGGAGCCAACGCGUUAAGCAUCCCGCCUGGGGAGUACGGCCGCAAGGCUAAAACUCAAAGAAAUUGACGGGGGCCCGCACAAGCGGCGGAGCAUGCGGAUUAAUUCGAUGCAACGCGAAGAACCUUACCUGGGCUUGACAUGUUCCCGACAGCCCCAGAGAUGGGGCCUCCCUUCGGGGCGGGUUCACAGGUGGUGCAUGGUCGUCGUCAGCUCGUGUCGUGAGAUGUUGGGUUAAGUCCCGCAACGAGCGCAACCCUCGCCCUGUGUUGCCAGCACGUCGUGGUGGGAACUCACGGGGGACCGCCGGGGUCAACUCGGAGGAAGGUGGGGAUGACGUCAGAUCAUCAUGCCCCUUACGUCCAGGGCUUCACGCAUGCUACAAUGGCCGGUACAACGGGAUGCGACACCGCGAGGUGGAGCGGAUCCCUUAAAACCGGUCUCAGUUCGGAUUGGAGUCUGCAACCCGACUCCAUGAAGGCGGAGUCGCUAGUAAUCGCGGAUCAGCAACGCCGCGGUGAAUGCGUUCCCGGGCCUUGUACACACCGCCCGUCAAGUCAUGAAAGUGGGUAGCACCCGAAGCCGGUGGCCCAACCUUUUGGGGGGAGCCGUCUAAGGUGAGACUCGUGAUUGGGACUAAGUCGUAACAAGGUAGCCGUACCGGAAGGUGCGGCUG
rnacentral:rRNA from 1 species